GUAAUGCAAAAUUUCUAUAAUUUGAUACCAAUUCGCCAAAAAUCGCGUCACUCGGCAACACACGUAAGCUGAAAAUAUUUCUCGAAAGCGGUUUACGUAAUUCAGUUGCAGUUUCGCCCUUAAAUUUUUUCCGAAAGUGAUUUGUGCAAUAAGGACUUUCUGGCUGUUUACGCGGGAAAGUAGACUUUUGCUAUGACAGCAAAAUGCGUAGGAAAAACGCUUGCAUUGCCACGUUUAACCGCAUAAAUGUAAGAUAUGAGUAAAUCGAGAGGUUAUUUUUUUUAUUGAUUUUUUGUUGGUGACGUGGGCCUAACAUUUUAAAUGCAAAUGUACAUCAAUUUGACACAGGAUUAACAAUUAAUAAAUAAAUUAUAUACGUUAAAAGCUAAUAGAAGAAGAAAUCAAGAAUGAAAUAUAAAAUUAUUCCAUGAUAACAGAAA